rnacentral:rRNA from 1 species
UACGGAGGUGGCGAGCGUUGUUCGGAAUUACUGGGCGUAAAGCGCGCGUAGGCGGCUCUUCAAGUCAGGCGUGAAAGCCCCAGGCUUAACCUGGGAAUUGCGUUUGAUACUGUUGAGCUAGAGUGUGGAAGGGGCUACUGGAAUUCCUGGUGUAGCGGUGGAAUGCGCAGAUAUCAGGAGGAACACCGGUGGCGAAGGCGGGUCUCUGGGCCGUAACUGACGCUGAGGAGCGAAAGCAUGGGGAGCGAACAGG